rnacentral:SRP_RNA from 2 species
AGGCCAGGAAGACAGCAGCCACAGGUGGUUCA